UACGGAGGGUGCGAGCGUUGUCCGGAAUCACUGGGCGUAAAGGGCGCGUAGGCGGCUUGGUAAGCGUGCGGUGAAAGCUUGGGGCUCAACCCCGAGUCGGCCGUGCGAACUGCCAGGCUUGAGCACUGUAGAGGCAGGCGGAAUUCCGGGUGUAGCGGUGGAAUGCGUAGAGAUCCGGAAGAACACCGGUGGCGAAGGCGGCCUGCUGGGCAGUGGCUGACGCUGAGGCGCGACAGCGUGGGGAGCAAACAGG
rnacentral:rRNA from 1 species